rnacentral:rRNA from 1 species
CAGUCGCCGCGGUAAUACGAAGGGGGCUAGCGUUGCUCGGAAUGAUUGGGCGUAAAGGGCUCGCAGGCGGUUUCUUAAGUCUGAUGUGAAAGCCCCCGGCUCAACCGGGGAGGGUCAUUGGAAACUGGGAAACUUGAGUGCAGAAGAGGAGAGUGGAAUUCCACGUGUAGCGGUGAAAUGCGUAGAGAUGUGGAGGAACACCAGUGGCGAAAGCGACUCUCUGGUCUGUAACUGACGCUGAGGAGCGAAAGCGUGGGGAGCGAACAGGAUUAGAUACCCGGGUAGUCCCUGUCUCUUAUAC